GACAGAGGGUGCAAACGUUGUUCGGAAUUACUGGGCGUAAAGCGCGUGUAGGCGGCUAAGUAAGUCGGGCGUGAAAUCCCACGGCUCAACCGUGGAAGUGCACUCGAAACUGCGUAGCUAGAGUCUUGGAGAGGAAGGUGGAAUGCUUGGUGUAGAGGUGAAAUUCGUAGAUAUCAAGCGGAACACCGGUGGCGAAGGCGGCCUUCUGGACAGUGACUGACGCUGAGACGCGAAAGCGUGGGGAGCAAACAGG
rnacentral:rRNA from 1 species